UACGGAGGGGGCUAGCGUUGUUCGGAAUUACUGGGCGUAAAGCGCGGGCAGGCGGUCUGACAAGUCUGAUGUGAAAUCUCCGGGCUUAACCGGGAGAGGCCAUUGGAAACUGACAGGCUGGAGGGCAGUAGAGGUAGGCGGAAUUCCGGGUGGAGUGGUGAAAUGCGUAGAGAUCCGGAGGAACACCAGAGGCGAAGGCGGCCUACUGGGCUGCACCUGACGCUGAGCCGCGAAAGCCAGGGGAGCGAACGGG
rnacentral:rRNA from 1 species